UAUGUGCGUAUGUAUGUAUGUAUAUAUAUAUAAUUGGUAAUUCUAUUUUUGAUUGAUAAUAUGCAUAAAAUUAUUUUAUUUUUUAUUUUGGUAUAGAAUGGACGGGUAUGGGUUGGGUAUGGGGCGGGUAUGGAUUGGAUAUGGGGAAAUGGGUUACCCACGGGUAUCUCCGAACCCGUUGGGUAUGGGGAUGAGUAUCUCUUUUCUUAUCCGAUUGGGUAUCGGGUAGGAUUUGGAUAUAGGGUAUUAAGUUCGGGUUUAGGGAUGGAUAGUAUACUAUCCGACCCAAACUCUACCUAUUGCCAUCCCUACUGUUUGGGGUUCGGAUCCUCCGUGGUGGACAAGAAUUUGGUCCAU
rnacentral:lncRNA from 1 species